rnacentral:rRNA from 1 species
GACGAACGCUGGCGGCGUGCUUAACACAUGCAAGUCGAACGGAAAGGCCCUGCUUUUGUGGGGUGCUCGAGUGGCGAACGGGUGAGUAACACGUGAGUAACCUGCCCUUGACUUUGGGAUAACUUCAGGAAACUGGGGCUAAUACCGGAUAGGAGCUCCUGCUGCAUGGUGGGGGUUGGAACGUUUCGGCGGUUGGGGAUGGACUCGCGGCUUAUCAGCUUGUUGGUGGGGUAGUGGCUUACCAAGGCUUUGACGGGUAGCCGGCCUGAGAGGGUGACCGGCCACAUUGGGAAUGAGAUACGGCCCAGAGUCCUAAGGGAGGCAGCAGUGGGGAAUAUUGAACAAUGGGCGGAAGCCUGAUGCAGAAACGCCGCGGGCGGGAUGACGGCCUUCGGGUUGUAAACCGCUUUCGCCUGUGACGAAGCGUGAGUGACGGUAAUGGGUAAAGAAGCACCGGCUAACUACGUG